UGCAGGGCUACACAGUUUCUUAUGCAGAU
rnacentral:piRNA from 1 species